rnacentral:ncRNA from 1 species
CCGGUCCUCUGAGUUAAUAGGGAAUCCAGUGCAAAUCUGGAGCUGACGCGCAGCGGUAAGGAAAGGUGGGAUAAGCGCAUUAUGCAGACACUGCUGAUCGUUGGCGGGAAGUCCUUGUCCAUAACACACCCCGAGCCCGAAGACCUGCCGGAUACG